UAUAUGAGGUUAUAGCAAAAAUACUGCUAUCUAUGAAUUAGGGAGUGGGCUUUCACCAGACACCGAGUCUGCCAGCUCCUUGAUUUUGACUUCCAGCUUCCAGAAGGGACUCUUCUAAGACCUAGGGUCAGUUCCAUUCCACAAGGAAGAUUUGCAUGGGUUCCAACCAAAUGUUCCAGAAAACCUUUGAUUUAUAUUUGGAAGACCUUCAAUUUCUCUACUUAGGAUGCUCUCAGCUCUACAGCAUCUAAUUCCUCCAAGACACAUUGGAAGCCUGGCUUAUCUCUCCACUCAAUGCAGAAGCGGCUAGAAAUAAUUUCUGUUGUUUGCAACCACGGAUCCUGACUAGCCAGUCUCCUUCAAGUCGUUUAAUGGAUGAAAGAAGAAACUGAUGUCCAGAGAAGGGACCAGGACUUAGGCCACAAAAAAAACAAGAAUCCAGGU